GACGAACGCUGGCGGCGUGCUUAACACAUGCAAGUCGAACGGAAAGGCCCUGCUUUUGUGGGGUGCUCGAGUGGCGAACGGGUGAGUAACACGUGAGUAACCUGCCCUUGACUUUGGGAUAACUUCAGGAAACUGGGGCUAAUACCGGAUAGGAGCUCCUGCUGCAUGGUGGGGGUUGGAAAGUUUCGGCGGUUGGGGAUGGACUCGCGGCUUAUCAGCUUGUUGGUGGGGUAGUGGCUUACCAAGGCUUUGACGGGUAGCCGGCCUGAGAGGGUGACCGGCCACAUUGGGACUGAGAUACGGCCCAGACUCCUACGGGAGGCAGCAGUGGGGAAUAUUGCACAAUGGGCGGAAGCCUGAUGCAGCAACGCCGCGUGCGGGAUGACGGCCUUCGGGUUGUAAACCGCUUUCGCCUGUGACGAAGCGUGAGUGACGGUAAUGGGUAAAGAAGCACCGGCUAACUACGUGCCAGCAGCCGCGGUGAUACGUAGGUGCGAGCGUUGUCCGGAUUUAUUGGGCGUAAAGGGCUCGUAGGUGGUUGAUCGCGUCGGAAGUGUAAUCUUGGGGCUUAACCCUGAGCGUGCUUUCGAUACGGGUUGACUUGAGGAAGGUAGGGGAGAAUGGAAUUCCUGGUGGAGCGGUGGAAUGCGCAGAUAUCAGGAGGAACACCAGUGGCGAAGGCGGUUCUCUGGGCCUUUCCUGACGCUGAGGAGCGAAAGCGUGGGGAGCGAACAGGCUUAGAUACCCUGGUAGUCCACGCUGUAAACGGUGGGUACUAGGUGUGGGGUCCAUUCCACGGGUUCCGUGCCGUAGCUAACGCUUUAAGUACCCCGCCUGGGGAGUACGGCCGCAAGGCUAAAACUCAAAGGAAUUGACGGGGCCCCGCACAAGCGGCGGAGCAUGCGGAUUAAUUCGAUGCAACGCGUAGAACCUUACCUGGGUUUGACAUGGAUCGGGAGCGCUCAGAGAUGGGUGUGCCUCUUUUGGGGUCGGUUCACAGGUGGUGCAUGGCUGUCGUCAGCUCGUGUCGUGAGAUGUUGGGUUAAGUCCCGCAACGAGCGCAACCCUUGUUCACUGUUGCCAGCACGUUAUGGUGGGGACUCAGUGGAGACCGCCGGGGUCAACUCGGAGGAAGGUGGGGAUGACGUCAAGUCAUCAUGCCCCUUAUGUCCAGGGCUUCACGCAUGCUACAAUGGCUGGUACAGAGAGUGGCGAGCCUGUGAGGGUGAGCGAAUCUCGGAAAGCCGGUCUCAGUUCGGAUUGGGGUCUGCAACUCGACCUCAUGAAGUCGGAGUCGCUAGUAAUCGCAGAUCAGCAACGCUGCGGUGAAUACGUUCCCGGGGCU
rnacentral:rRNA from 1 species